UCCCGGGAACGUAUUCACCGCGGCGUGCUGAUCCGCGAUUACUAGCGAUUCCAGCUUCGUGUAGGCGAGUUGCAGCCUACAGUCCAAACUGAGAACAGCUUUCAGAGAUUCGCUUGCCUUCACAAGUUCGCUCCUCGUUGUACUGCCCAUUGUAGCACGUGUGUAGCCCAGGUCAUAAGGGGCAUGAUGACUUGACGUCAUCCCCACCUUCCUCCGGUUUGUCACCGGCAGUCUCAUUAGAGUGCCCAACUUAAUGCUGGCAACUAAUAAUAAGGGUUGCGCUCGUUGCGGGACUUAACCCAACAUCUCACGACACGAGCUGACGACA
rnacentral:rRNA from 1 species